rnacentral:rRNA from 1 species
UACGGAGGGUGCGAGCGUUGUUCGGAAUCACUGGGCGUAAAGCGCGUGUAGGCGGCCCAUUAAGUCUGAUGUGAAAGCCCGGGGCUCACCCCCGGAAGUGCAUUGGAAACUGAUGGGCUGGAGUCCCGGAGAGGAGGGUGGAAUUCCUGGUGUAGCGGUGAAAUGCGUAGAUAUCAGGAGGAACACCGGUGGCGAAGGCGGCCCUCUGGACGGUGACUGACGCUGAGACGCGAAAGCGUGGGGAGCAAACAGGAUUAGAAACCCUUGUAGUCC